rnacentral:lncRNA from 1 species
AUGAAUUGUGCAAAAAUUGUUUGGGCAUUUAGCUUGAAAAAGGAGUUAAAAUACAUGAUGCACAGAUUUCCUAAUUUUUCCAGCAAAACAUCAUAUAGGAUGGUUUUGUUCAAACUUAUGGUUUUGUGUAGGUAUCAUUGUUGAACACUGAUGCAGAAGUUUCUGUUAUGGAAAGUAUAAGAAUUCUAAGAACAACUCUAGUUGAACAUAAAAAAACAUAUUCUAAGC